rnacentral:misc_RNA from 1 species
AUAGCAGGGGUGAUAAUUUCUGCUUCCCUAAUAUCCCCAACAAAAACAUCAUCUGCUCCACCAAUUUUCUCUUUGCUAUCUUGAGUUCUGACCAAACCUCGUGCAACAUAUUGGCCAGACCUCUCCUUCAAUUUCUUAUAAACUAUUGAACCAGUUCUGCCACCAGCUCCAGUGACAAGAACAGUGGUUGGACGCGAAUCCGCCAUUGACAAUGAAACCGGUUGAAUCCUCCUGAAAGUGUUGCAGUUAUU